CUAGGGACGAGGACAAGGGCUAAUGUCUUUGGAGAAAGGGGUUCCGUUUGGACGUCCGCUCUGGGACAUGAGGGAGUGGCUGGGUAAGCCGCAAUGGGCGGCGAGGGGGCGCGACAGGGCCCGCGGCCAGGGCGCCCGAGGCCAGGCGCGGACCCGCGGGCGGUCGCAACUGGAGCCUGGAAGCAGAGGGGCGCAGACGAUGCGAGAAAAAUUGUGGAUGCCCUGGAACGGGCUCUUCGUGAUCGGGAAGAGAAUGGAGCUCCUGGGUAGAAACACGCAAAAGCCUAGGAUGUGGGACCCGAAGCUUGAGUCUGAGGACCGGAGACUGGAAGAUGUGGAAAAGGCAGUCUUGAGAGGAAAGUCAGGCCGGAGUCAGGGAAGGAUGGAUGUGAAACGAGUGCGCAGUGUAGCAAGUGCAUUACAGGCUUCCGCGGGUUUGCAGAAAGACAACUCCAAGGAGGUGUGGGGAAAGCAAGAAGUCAGACACGAAAUAGGGGCUGAAUCUGAGAAUGCAGGGACUACAGCGGGGUCUAGGGGGGGACCUGGGUUUAAAGAGAGGUUGAAGUUUACUGGAGUGGGAACCAGUGGAGAGGACUCGAGAUCCAGAGAAUACGAACUAGGGCAGAAUGCGGAGGCGCUGAGGUCAAGUGGAGAGAAGCUGAGGUCAGGUGGAGAGAAGCUGAGGUCGAGUGGAGAGAAGCUGAGGUUGAGCAGAGAGAAGCUGGUGUUCAGCGGGGAAAGGCGGGGAUCCAGGGGAGAGAAGCUGGGGACUAGUGGAGAGAAAUUGGACGGUUCAAGAAUGGGGAGCAUAAAUGAAGAGAAAAUUGAAAGAGUGAAAGUUACUGGUGAUGAAAGAUUGAUAGAAAUUACUGAUGCUGAGAUGGACAUUCCUUUUGAAAAGGUAGAGGAGAACAAUGAAGAGAUUGAGGAAGGGGUGGGGGUUGAGGAGGAUGUCUUGGAUGAAGUGAAUGAUAAUACUGAUGAAUCCAUUUCUAUCGAAGAGAAAGAUUAUAGACAAAGGUACCAGUGAAUGAGGCAGAUGAAGGAUUUAAGGUAAAGAAGGAAAGAAGCAGGUAGGGGAAGUAUUGCAAGUCAGAGAGGAGAAAUUAGAGACAAGCAGAACAUUACUGACCCUGAAGGGGUAAAUAUGAGAGGGAAAGGAGAGCAUCUUUGCCUAAGAGAAGAGAGAGUGGGAAUGAAGAGCUCCUGGGGAUGAAGGCGGAGACCAGGACCAAAGGAAGUGAAGAAGAGUGAUAAAGAGGGAAAUGGAACAUUUUGAGAAGAAAGAGAAGAUUCGUUAAUGUGUUGAUAGGUAGAGGAAGAGUGGACAUUUGUUUCUUGGAAAAGAACUGUGACUGAGGAGCUUAUAGAGAAAUGUUUGAGAAAUGGAUUUAGGUUAGGCUAGAAGGAUUUAGCUUAACACAUGAUUGGGUUUAUGAGAUGUAGGAGAAUGCACAGUGAGAAAAAUGGAAAGGUACAGCAGGGUAAGGAUAGGUCAUGGAGGUUGUGGACAGAGAUGCAGGCUGGAGUGCAGUUUCUGAGAGAGGAUCCUAAAGAAUAAUGAAGGGCUCCAAAGUGACAAAGGCAAGAGCAGAGAUAAGAAAAUAAAGAAGUGAAGAAAAAAAAUCUCUGCCUUCCCAAGACCAUCCGCUGCUGGCCUCCUCUGGUGAUUAUCUGAGUACCGAGAAAUUGUUGUCUUUCUUGUAAGAAGCCUGCACAGGCACCAGGUCAAGACGAGCAGUUUUCGGUUGUGUGGGUCUGUCUCUCAGAUUGCGCCUCGCUGUAUAUAAAUUGUGAGCCAAAUAAUCAGACUUGUUCUUUGGCUGGAUUACAUUUUCUCCUGGAAUAUCAGAUGCAUUCCACCAAGACCACAGAAAGAAAAAGUGAAGAUCAAGAAACUGUGACACCGCUUUAGCACAGGCUCCGGACGCGCAGGCUCAGCGGCCAUGGCUCACGGGCCCAGCAGCUCCGCAGCAUGUGGGAUCUUCCCGGACCGGGGCACGAACCCCUGUCCCCUGCAUCGGCAGGCGGACUCUCAACCACUGCGCCACCCGGGAAGCCCCAGCCCAUCUUUUAAUGUCAGUCUGAACUGGCAGAUUACCAGAGAGGACCCCUGCCUCCCUCCCUCCCUUUCUCUCUCUCACACACACACACACACACCCACGCAUGUCAUCAGCUAUCUGUCUGAUUUGCUGGAAACAUGGGGCUGGGGUCAGGGUUUUUUAAUUCUUUGUACUUCUUCACUGAGUUCCCAGGUGACUAGUGGCUGGUUCAUCCCAAAGCUCCCCCUCCGCAUUCACUUUAAAAUAUAUAUAUAUAUAUAUAUUUAUUUAUUUAUUUAUUUUGGCUGUGCCAGGUCUUAGUUGUGGCAUGCAGACUUUUUUUUUUUUUGGUUGCGUUUGGUCUUUGUUGCUGCACGCAGGCUUUCUCUAGUUGCGGCGAGCGGGGGCUACUCAUCGUUGCAGUGCAUGGGCUUCUCAUUGCGGUGGCUUCUCUUGUUGCACAGCACGGGCUCUAGGCAUGCGGGCUUCAGUAGUUGUGGCUCGCGGGCUCAGUAGUUGUGGCUCACUGGCUCUAGAGCGCAGGCUCAGUAGUUCUGGCGCACAGGCUUAGCUGCUCUGUGGCAUGUGAGAUCUUCCCGGACCAGGGCUCGAACCCGUGUCCCAUGCAUGCGCAGGCGGAUUCUUAACCACUGCGCUACGAGGGAAGCCACAACAUGCAGACUAUUAGUUGCGGCAUGCAUGCGGGAUCUUAGUUCCCUGACCAGGGUCAAACCCGGGCCCCCUGCAUUGGGAGUGUGGAGCCUUAGGCACUGCACCACCAGAGAAUUCCCCCCAACCAUUCACUUUUGUUUCGAUGAAAUGAGAAGGCUUAUUCUUCCAUUUCCCUUUCCCUUCUUUCUUUCCUUUCUUGGAUGUUGGUCAGGUCAAUGAGACUGUUGUCAUAAAGUACUUGGAAGUAUUUCAAGAAGAGCAUGACCUGACUCUCUGUUACACUUGGGUCAGUUCACCAGUCUCCAGUCUAGGGCUUCCGUCGGCAGCCCCAGGGGUGGUGCCUGAGAGCAAGGAGGACAUGCUGUGGACACAGCACCCCAUGGUACUGUGGGUCAGUGUUGCUCAUUCCUGACCUCGGCGUCGACAGUCUCAUCCCUGGAAGUGGGAUAAAUGGUAGUUUGGCCCCUUGUGUCCCCUCAUCAUGCGAGCCCUCCGCCGUCUCUGGCGUGACUUGCCAGGCUGCACAGUUCCCUGUUCCAGGAACUAAUAAGAGGUAGAGUGAAAAGAUUGUUUCCUCGGAUGCACUUUUACAAGAUGUUUCCAAAGAUGGGGUGGCAGAGAAAUGGUGAGCCCCGCUCCCUUGUGCGUGGAGGUGUCACAAUUCUGGCAGGAGGUCACAGGGACGCCCCACCUUCCUGGGGGCUCUCACUCAGCACAGCCAGUUAGACAGCCAGGGACCGGGCAACAUCAAGGUAACCACAGGCCUUUGUAAGCGAGAUACUGUUGUCCCUUCCAGGCUGGCGACACUGUGACCUGCUGCAGCAGGAGCGUGGCUGAAGGGCAGCUGAAGGGCAGCUGUGCUGGGCAGGUGGCCCUCCCCAUGCCAGCGCUCCCUGGGUCACGUCUCCACUAAGCCUGUGCGGUCUGUCACUGUCAGGCUUCUCCUGAACCACCUUCCCUCGUGGGUGGUGAAGGAGUUGCGUGUCGUAUGAGAAGAAUAUUAGAUCUGUGUCCCCAGAGGAGGAAUCACUGAGCCCAUGAGGGUUAUUCACCCGCAGGAGAACCUCAAGGACAAAGGAAUCUUCUAGAGACAGAAAGGGGGGGUGGUUGCAGAAGUAAGCCCAGAGUCCAGUGGGAGCUCAUUAAAUCCUUGCUGAGAGGAGCCUGGCAGCUGUUUGACGAGAGACAGAGCAGAGGCUGAGAGAGAUCGUGGAGAUGGAGCACGACAGGAGAAGUUUAAUGAUGCUAAUUAAUUAGACUCACUAAAAGGGAAUAGAACAUUCAUUGGGUUGCCAAAAGGUGUUCUUAGCAGACAAAAUUUGCAAAGUCCUGCACUGGGGAUUGACAAAGGCGUGAUGGCCAACGUGUUAAAAAGGAGGGAGACGAGGCGUUCCCGCCAAGUGGUUAGGACUCAGUGCUUUCACUGCAGUGGCCUGGGUUCAAUUCCUGGUCAGGGAAUUAAGAUGCCGCAAGAAAAAAAAAAAAAAAAGAAGGGAGAUGGCAAGCCUCACGGCCGUGAGUGGAUGGCUCCUGUGUUCCUGCCACUGUGCCAAUGUGAUGUCAAGCGACCCUUAGUGUUUUUGUGUGCAUGUGUGUGAUCGUUUUCUGAGCAAUUCUGAGCUUUAAGAAAAUGUUGGCGAGGUCAACAACCCACAGUUUUGGGAUCUGAUGUUCCGCCCAGGCCGUGCUCUGGGAAAGGAGGCCCCUCCUCCCUGCCCCUCACCAGGGGGCACUCCCAUCAUCCUUCUGCCUUACCCUUACCCGACACUUACCCUUCCUCCAGGAGAGCUGGGCUCCUGC